GACGAACGCUGGCGGCGUGCUUAACACAUGCAAGUCGAACGGAAAGGCCCUGCGUUUGUGGGGUGCUCGAGUGGCGAACGGGUGAGUAACACGUGUGUAACCUGCCCUUGACUUUGGGAUAACUUCAGGAAACUGGGGCUACUAUCGUAUAGGAUCCCCUCUUGCAGGGAGGGGGUUGGAAAGUUUCGGCGGUGGGGGAUGGACUCGCGGCUUAUCAGCUUGUUAGUGGGGUAGUGGCUGACCAAGGUUUUGACGGGUAGCUGGCCUGAGAGGGUGAGCGGCGACAUUGGGACUGAGAUAAGGCCCAGACGCCUACGGGAGGCAGCAGUGGGGAAUAUUGCACAAUGGGCGGAAGGCUGAUGAAGCAACGCCGCGUGCGGGAUGACGGCCUUCGGGUUGUAAACCGCUUUCGCCUGUGACGAAGCGUGAGUGACGGUAAUGGGUAAAGAAGCAACGGCUAACUACGUG
rnacentral:rRNA from 1 species